GGGCCUGUAGCUCAGUUGGUUAGAGUGCACGCCUGAUAAGCGUGAGGUCGGAAGUUCAAGUCUUCCCAGGCCCACCA
rnacentral:tRNA from 1 species